GAUGAACGCUAGCUACAGGCUUAACACAUGCAAGUCGCGGGGUAACAUCUGGUAGAGCUUGCUCUUCCAGGAUGACGACCGGCGCACGGGUGAGUAACGCGUAUCCAACCUGGCCCAUACCACGGGAUAGCCCGUCGAAAGGCGGAUUAAUACCGUAUGCUGUCAUUAAGAUGCAUAUAUUGAUGACGAAAGGACUGGCGGUAUGGGAUGGGCAUGCGGCGCAUUAGGUAGUCGGGGGUGUAACGGACCACCGAGCCGACGAUGCGUAGGGGUUCUGAGAGGAAGGUCCCCCANACUGGUACUGAGACACGGACCAGACUCCUACGGGAGGCAGCAGUGAGGAAUAUUGGUCAAUGGUCGGAAGACUGAACCAGCCAAGCCGCGUGAAGGAAGAAGGUGCUCGGCAUCGUAAACUUCUUUUGUCAGGGACAAAGGGCGGUACGUGUACCGCUGUGAGUGUACCUGAAGAAAAAGCAAUCGGCUAACUCCGUGCCAG
rnacentral:rRNA from 1 species